rnacentral:lncRNA from 1 species
UCUCUUUCCAGGACAGAUGGACCGUCUUUCUAACAGUAGUAGUUGGACUCUCUCUUGCCUCCUCACUCACUGCCUCUGGACUGGGGACAGGAGGACUUGGUUAUGCAGUAACCACUACUCAGAAGCUUGAACAACAACUUCGGGAAGUGGUAGAGGCAUUGGCCAACCCUAACUUCCCUACAAAGGCAAAUCACAUCUAUUGUUCAAGUUUCAUUACAGAAUCUUCGAGCCCUGGGUCUUCUGAUGGCAGACAAAGGAGAAACUUGUUUAUUCCUGAAAGCAGAAUGCUGCUAUUAUAUCAGUGAAACUGGAUUGAUCAAAAAGAAUGUCAACACCCUCCUUUCAUUUGGGUGAAAGGCUUAAACAGCAACAAUCAAAUGACCCUUGACCCUUGUCCAGGCUGGCUAAACUCAACCCUCAUUACAAUGGCUGACUCCCAUUCUCACUCCUAUAUUAGUAAUAGGACUUCUAUUAAUGAUUGCUCCCUGCCUCCUCAGGUUUGCCCAAAAGCACAUGGGUGAAAUUGCCAGAGUGACCUACAACCUGAUGCCCCUACACCCCUACGGUCGCCUCUCUACCGAGCCAACACCUGAACCGUCCCCUUCCCCCACUGCCCCUAGCCAGCAGGAAGUAUCCAGAUGUAUGUCACCGCCAUAUAUCAUCAAAAAGGCCAGGAUGUUAGGUCGGUUUGAGGUCAUUAAGAAACCGGAAUGCACGAAAGAACCACCAAUCAAACACUGACAGAACCACUUGCCAAUAAGCGGGGUUUCCAGAUCAAUCCUGGAUCUUAGCAAGCUCCCCCAGCCAACCCCACCAGGACAAGAGACCCCAGUAGGACAAGAGACCCCCUUUUCUGUCCCAAGCCCUCCCUUCCUGCCCUAAGCCCAAUAAGAAUUUCAGUCUGGUCCGGCCCCCCUCACUUCUCCUCGGACCUGCCCAG